rnacentral:rRNA from 1 species
CCUACGGGGGGCUGCAGUGAGGAAUUUUCCGCAAUGGACGCAAGUCUGACGGAGCAACGCCGCGUGCAGGACGACGGCCUUCGGGUUGUAAACUGCUUUUCUCUGGGACGAGAACGGACGGUACCAGAGGAACAAGCCCCGGCUAACUACGUGCCAGCAGCCGCGGUAAUACGUAGGGGGCGAGCGUUGUCCGGAGUUACUGGGCGUAAAGCGCAUGCAGGCGGUUUGGUAAGUUUGAGGUAACAGCUCCCGGCUCAACUGGGAGAGUGUCUUGAAAACUGCGAGACUUGAGGGCUCAAGAGGGACAUGGAAUUCCGGGUGUAGUGGUGAAAUGCGUAGAUAUCCGGAGGAACACCAAUGGCGAAGGCAGUGUCCUGGUGAGUACCUGACGCUCAGAUGCGAAAGCUAGGGGAGCGAACGGGAUUAGAUACCCCGGUAGUC